rnacentral:lncRNA from 1 species
CAAAAUAUUGUUCGGCGCAUAGCAACUUCCACAAAACUUAACUGAGGUCAUCAUAUGUUUUUCUAAGCACGACGUGUCAGAGAAGGGGAUUGUUGGUGUGCCGUAUUUCAUUGGAGUUGCGUACGCAGAAUACUGAGUCCAUUGACUUGACAGAGUGGCCUCCACUGCACCUGAAGCCACUGGUCGAUCAGCCGCGGCCACCGCAAACUGGUAAAAAAGGUUCGCAAUUCCUUUGGAGAACGACAUUUUGAAGCCACAACUCACUAUGAAGUAUGAAUUUUUGCCUUCCUUAUUUUUCUGCUGGUUUGUAUAAGUGAUGGAGCUCCACCUAAAAGCCGACAAGGAACGAAAAGCGACGAAGUAAAGGAAGAAUUCAAUGAAGGCAGCAUCGGAGAGCGCCUCAAACCACUCUCUGCAUUGGUGGCUGGUUUUCCGUGUGGCGGCACGGGACCUUGCUUUGCCAUUCCUUGGCGACCUUCAAUUAUCCGGCCUCCACAGCCUCCCCGCCGUCCACGCCCUAACAUGAACAGCAUCGGAUGAGAACGCCGCUUUUUUCUACUGACACAAAUAUACGCCGCUGGGUUUACUUCACGUAAUAAGGCGUCCAUAUAAUUCGGCAGUUAUAACACUAUACUUUUGAUCAUUUGUGGUAUUUUACUUCUCGACCAAAGAAUAGAGAUUAAAGCGCCCUGCGCCACUAUCUCAAGGCCGUCAUCUGUGGUGCACCUUUAAAUGGCAUCAUAAUGUAAAGCAUUUUUCUUUGAAAAUAAACUUCCUGAUUUCCUCGUAAUUA